rnacentral:rRNA from 1 species
GAUGAACGCUAGCGGCAGGCUUAAUACAUGCAAGUCGAGGGGUAGCGAGAUUGUAGCAAUACAAUUGUUGACGACCGGCAAACGGGUGCGGAACACGUACACAACCUUCCUACAAGUGGGGAAUAGCCCAGAGAAAUUUGGAUUAAUACCCCGUAACAUAGCGAUGUGGCAUCACAUUGCUAUUAUAGCUUCGGCGCUUGUUGAUGGGUGUGCGGCUGAUUAGAUAGUUGGCGGGGUAACGGCCCACCAAGUCUACGAUCAGUAGCUGAUGUGAGAGCAUGAUCAGCCACACGGGCACUGAGACACGGGCCCGACUCCUACGGGAGGCAGCAGUAAGGAAUAUUGGACAAUGGACGCAAGUCUGAUCCAGCCAUGCCGCGUGAAGGAUUAAGGUCCUCUGGAUUGUAAACUUCUUUUAUAAGGGACGAAAAAAGGUCUUUCUAGAUCGUCUGACGGUACCUUAUGAAUAAGCACCAGCUAACUCCGUGCCAGCAGCCGCGGUAAUAC